CAGCCGCCGCGGUAAUACAGAGGGUGCAAGCGUUAAUCGGAAUUACUGGGCGUAAAGCGCGCGUAGGUGGUUUGUUAAGUUGGAUGUGAAAGCCCAGGGCUCAACCUGGGAACUGCAUCCAAAACUGGCAAGCUAGAGUACGGUAGAGGGUGGUGGAAUUUCCUGUGUAGCGGUGAAAUGCGUAGAUAUAGGAAGGAACACCAGUGGCGAAGGCGACCACCUGGACUGAUACUGACAAUGAGGUGCGAAAGCGUGGGGAGCAAACAGGAUUAGAUACCCCGGUAGUCCCUGUCUCUUAUAA
rnacentral:rRNA from 1 species